CGAACGCUGGCGGCGUGCCUAAUACAUGCAAGUAGAACGCUGAAGAGAGGAGCUUGCUCUUCUUGGAUGAGUUGCGAACGGGUGAGUAACGCGUAGGUAACCUGCCUGGUAGCGGGGGAUAACUAUUGGAAACGAUAGCUAAUACCGCAUAAAAUUGAUUAUUGCAUGAUAAUUAAUUGAAAGAUGCAAUUGCAUCACUACCAGAUGGACCUGCGUUGUAUUAGCUAGUUGGUGAGGUAACGGCUCACCAAGGCGACGAUACAUAGCCGACCUGAGAGGGUGAUCGGCCACACUGGGACUGAGACACGGCCCAGACUCCUACGGGAGGCAGCAGUAGGGAAUCUUCGGCAAUGGGGGGAACCCUGACCGAGCAACGCCGCGUGAGUGAAGAAGGUUUUCGGAUCGUAAAGCUCUGUUGUAAGAGAAGAACGGGUGUGAGAGUGGAAAGUUCACACUGUGACGGUAUCUUACCAGAAAGGGACGGCUAACUACGUGCCAGCAGCCGCGGUAAUACGUAGGUCCCGAGCGUUGUCCGGAUUUAUUGGGCGUAAAGCGAGCGCAGGCGGUUAGAUAAGUCUGAAGUUAAAGGCUGUGGCUUAACCAUAGUAUGCUUUGGAAACUGUUUAACUUGAGUGCAGAAGGGGAGAGUGGAAUUCCAUGUGUAGCGGUGAAAUGCGUAGAUAUAUGGAGGAACACCGGUGGCGAAAGCGGCUCUCUGGUCUGUAACUGACGCUGAGGCUCGAAAGCGUGGGGAGCAAACAGGAUUAGAUACCCUGGUAGUCCACGCCGUAAACGAUGAGUGCUAGGUGUUAGGCCCUUUCCGGGGCUUAGUGCCGCAGCUAACGCAUUAAGCACUCCGCCUGGGGAGUACGACCGCAAGGUUGAAACUCAAAGGAAUUGACGGGGGCCCGCACAAGCGGUGGAACAUGUGGUUUAAUUCGAAGCAACGCGAAGAACCUUACCAGGUCUUGACAUCCCUCUGACCGCUCUAGAGAUAGAGUUUUCCUUCGGGACAGAGGUGACAGGUGGUGCAUGGUUGUCGUCAGCUCGUGUCGUGAGAUGUUGGGUUAAGUCCCGCAACGAGCGCAACCCCUAUUGUUAGUUGCCAUCAUUCAGUUGGGCACUCUAGCGAGACUGCCGGUAAUAAACCGGAGGAAGGUGGGGAUGACGUCAAAUCAUCAUGCCCCUUAUGACCUGGGCUACACACGUGCUACAAUGGCUGGUACAACGAGUCGCAAGCCGGUGACGGCAAGCUAAUCUCUGAAAGCCAGUCUCAGUUCGGAUUGUAGGCUGCAACUCGCCUACAUGAAGUCGGAAUCGCUAGUAAUCGCGGAUCAGCACGCCGCGGUGAAUACGUUCCCGGGCCU
rnacentral:rRNA from 1 species